UCAAGUCAAAUGUGAAUAAAUGAUAAUUUUAAUAUUGUUAUUAAGUUUUACAAGGCAAUUAGAUAAGGAAAAGACAGUAUUUAUAAUAUGAAUUAAGAUUGGGGCUUUUGAUUCGUUUUCGCGAGCAGACGUUAUGAUUUUCAUCCAAUGGUGGGCGUAUAUAAUUAUCGCCAUACUAAUAUUCUUCAUCUUCCUGAUGCUCAACUACAUUGUGAAGAGAAUUAAUGAGGUCCGCUUAGAAGAAAGAUUGAUUAGACCCCAGCCAAAAACCUCUACAAGUCAGUCCUCAAAAGUUAAAGAACCACGUGUCGAAAUUGAAUCGGAGAAAGUCGAUGCCACUUCACAAAGGAAAACUAGCGACUCCAGUAGCGUGCAGCCCACAUGCACUUCUAAACUUCUUGGCACAAUUUAUACCCUUGGAACUGAUGAAACGAGCACUUCAAAAAGAGAUGAUCGUAAUACAGAUAAAGAUAAAAAUGAAAAUUAAAAUAGCAUAAUAAUAACAACUAUAUAUGCAAGGUACGCAUCUGGAUGUGCAGGUAUCUUUGUUCCUUUUGUAAGCAAGUACCAAUGUAAUAUAUUACUCUAUGAAACUUAUAAACCGUGUGAGUG